rnacentral:misc_RNA from 1 species
UGGUUCUCGCAUCGAUGAAGAACGCAGCGAAAUGCGAUAAGUAGUGUGAAUUGCAGAAUUCAGUGAAUCAUCGAAUCUUUGAACGCACAUUGCGCCUCCUGGUAUUCCGGGAGGCAUGCCUGUUCGAGCGUCAUCAAAAACCACUCAAGCUCGUUUGCUUGGUAUUGGGAGACGAGUGCACCAGCCGUGCCCUCCCUUCCGAAAUCCAAUGGCGGAAAGCCCCACGUGCCCCGGCGUAGUAAAGUUUUCUUUCGCCCGGAACGGUGAGGUGAUCCUGCCCCGAACCCCCAAUUUCAUUCCAGGUUGACCUCGGAUCAGGUGGGGAUACCCGCUGA